rnacentral:rRNA from 1 species
AGGAUCUGAGGUGAACCUGCAGAUGGAUCA